AACGCUGGCGGCACGCUUAACACAUGCAAGUCGAACGGAGAUAUUUGGUUACUGAGAUAUCUUAGUGGCGGAACGGGUGAGUAACACGUGAGCAACCUGCCUUUGAGAGAGGGAUAGCUUCUGGAAACGGAUGGUAAUACCUCAUGACAUACUUUUAUCGCAUGGUAGAAGUAUCAAAGAUUUAUCACUCAGAGAUGGGCUCGCGUCUGAUUAGCUAGUUGGUGAGGUAACGGCUCACCCAAGGCGACGAUCAGUAGCCGGACUGAGAGGUUGAACGGCCACAUUGGGACUGAGACACGGCCCAGACUCCUACGGGAGGCAGCAGUGGGGAAUAUUGCACAAUGGGGGAAACCCUGAUGCAGCGAUGCCGCGUGGAGGAAGAAGGUUUUCGGAUUGUAAACUCCUGUCUUAAAGGACGAUAAUGACGGUACUUUAGGAGGAAGCUCCGGCUAACUACGUGCCAGCCGCAGC
rnacentral:rRNA from 1 species